rfam:Streptomyces sp. MP131-18 scaf_01, whole genome shotgun sequence.
CUUGACCGAGCCCAGCCACAACGGCCGCCCCGCCGACCGUUCCUGCCCGUAGGUCGCCAGCAGCGCCUGCGCCUC